GACGAACGCUGGCGGCGUGCCUAAUACAUGCAAGUCGAACGAACCGCGACUAGGUGCUUGCACUUGGUCAAGGUGAGUGGCGAACGGGUGAGUAACACGUGGGUAACCUACCUCAUAGUGGGGGAUAACAGUCGGAAACGACUGCUAAUACCGCAUAGGACAUAGGAUCACAUGAUCCAUUGAGGAAAGGUGGCGCAAGCUAUCGCUAAGAGAUGGACCCGCGGUGCAUUAGUUAGUUGGUAGGGUAAAGGCCUACCAAGGCGAUGAUGCAUAGCCGACCUGAGAGGGUGAUCGGCCACAUUGGGACUGAGACACGGCCCAAACUCCUACGGGAGGCAGCAGUAGGGAAUCUUCCGCAAUGGACGCAAGUCUGACGGAGCAACGCCGCGUGAGUGAAGAAGGUCUUCGGAUCGUAAAGCUCUGUUGUUAGAGAAGAACAGCGCAUAGAGUAACUGUUAUGCGUGUGACGGUAUCUAACCAGAAAGCCACGGCUAACUACGUG
rnacentral:rRNA from 1 species